GAUGAACGCUGGCGGCGUGCCUAAUACAUGCAAGUCGAGCGAACAGACGAGGAGCUUGCUCCUCUGAAGUUAGCGGCGGACGGGUGAGUAACACGUGGAUAACCUACCUAUAAGACUGGGAUAACUUCGGGAAACCGGAGCUAAUACCGGAUAAUAUAUUGAACCGCAUGGUUCAAUAGUGAAAGACGGUUUUGCUGUCACUUAUAGAUGGAUCCGCGCCGCAUUAGCUAGUUGGUAAGGUAACGGCUUACCAAGGCAACGAUGCGUAACCGACCUGAGAGGGUGAUCCGCCACACUGGAACUGAGACACGGUCCAGACUCCUACGGGAGGCAGCAGUAGGGAAUCUUCCGCAAUGGGCGAAAGCCUGACGGAGCAACGCCGCGUGAGUGAUGAAGGUCUUCGGAUCGUAAAACUCUGUUAUUAGGGAAGAACAAAUGUGUAAGUAACUAUUCACGUCUUGACGGUACCUAAUCAGAAAGCCACGGCUAACUACGUG
rnacentral:rRNA from 1 species